UCCGAAUACAUAAGCGAACACAUACA
rnacentral:piRNA from 1 species